rnacentral:rRNA from 1 species
UACGUAGGGUGCGAGCGUUAAUCGGAAUUACUGGGCGUAAAGCGUGCGCAGGCGGUCUGUUAAGACCGAUGUGAAAUCCCCGGGCUUAACCUGGGAAUGGCAUGGGAAACUGGCGAGCUUGAGUGCGGCAGAGGGGGGUGGAAUUCCGCGUGUAGCAGUGAAAUGCGUAGAGAUGCGGAGGAACACCGAUGGCGAAGGCAGCCCCCUGGGUCGACACUGACGCUCAGGCACGAAAGCGUGGGGAGCAAACAGG